rnacentral:rRNA from 1 species
UAGGGAAUCUUCCGCAAUGGACGAAAGUCUGACGGAGCAACGCCGCGUGAGUGAAGAAGGAUUUCGGUUCGUAAAACUCUGUUGUUAGGGAAGAAAAAAUGUAUAGUAACUAUAUACAAAAGAGACGGUACCUAACCAGAAAGCCACGGCUAACUACGUGCCAGCAGCCGCGGUAAUACGUAGGUGGCAAGCGUUGUCCGGAAUUAUUGGGCGUAAAGCGCGCGCAGGUGGUUUAGAAAGUCUGAUGUGAAAGCCCACGGCUCAACAGUGGAGGGUCAUUGGAAACUAAUAAACUUGAGUGCAGGAGAGAAAAGUGGAAUUCCUAGUGUAGCGGUGAAAUGCGUAGAGAUUAGGAGGAACACCGGUGGCGAAAGCGGCUUUUUGGCCUGCAACUGACACUGAGGCGCGAAAGCGUGGGGAGCAAACAGG